rnacentral:rRNA from 1 species
AUUGAACGCUGGCGGCAGGCCUAACACAUGCAAGUCGAGCGGAUGAGAGGAGCUUGCUUCUCGAUUCAGCGGCGGACGGGUGAGUAAUGCCUAGGCAUCUGCCUGGUAGCGGGGGACAACGUUUCGAAAGGAACGCUAAUACCGCAUACGUCCUACGGGAGAAAGCAGGGGACCUUCGGGCCUUGCGCUAUCAGAUGAGCCUAGGUCGGAUUAGCUAGUUGGUGAGGUAAUGGCUCACCAAGGCGACGAUCCGUAACUGGUCUGAGAGGAUGAUCAGUCACACUGGAACUGAGACACGGUCCAGACUCCUACGGGAGGCAGCAGUGGGGAAUAUUGGACAAUGGGCGAAAGCCUGAUCCAGCCAUGCCGCGUGUGUGAAGAAGGUCUUCGGAUUGUAAAGCACUUUAAGUUGGGAGGAAGGGUUGUAGAUAAUACUCUGCAAUUUUGACGUUACCGACAGAAUAAGCACCGGCUAACUCUGUGCCAGCAGCCGCAGUAACAC